rnacentral:rRNA from 2 species
AAGACCUAGCAAUAGGUAUGCUUAGGGAGGAGCUUGCGUCACAUUAGUUAGUUGGUGGGGUAAAGGCCUACCAAGACUAUGAUGUGUAGCCGGGCUGAGAGGUUGAACGGCCACAUUGGGACUGAGACACGGCCCAAACUCCUACGGGAGGCAGCAGUAGGGAAUUUUCGGCAAUGGAGGAAACUCUGACCGAGCAACGCCGCGUGAACGAUGAAGUAUUUCGGUACGUAAAGUUCUUUUAUUAGGGAAGAAUAAAUGAUGGAAAAAUCAUUCUGACGGUACCUAAUGAAUAAGCCCCGGCUAACUAUGUGCCAGCAGCCGCGGUAAUACAUAGGGGGCAAGCGUUAUCCGGAAUUAUUGGGCGUAAAGGGUGCGUAGGCGGUUAAAUAAGUUUAUGGUCUAAGUGCAAUGCUUAACAUUGUGAUGCUAUAAAAACUGUUUAACUAGAGUAAGAUAGAGGCAAGUGGAAUUCCAUGUGUAGUGGUAAAAUGCGUAAAUAUAUGGAGGAACACCAGUAGCGAAGGCGGCUUGCUGGGUCUUUACUGACGCUGAAGCACGAAAGCGUGGGGAGCAAACAGGAUUAGAUACCCUGGUAGUCCACGCCGUAAACGAUGAGUACUAAAUGUUGGGUAAAACCAGUGUUGAAGUUAACACAUUAAGUACUCCGCCUGAGUAGUACGUACGCAAGUAUGAAACUUAAAGGAAUUGACGGGACUCCGCACAAGCGGUGGAUCAUGUUGUUUAAUUCGAAGGUACCCGAAAAACCUCACCAGGUCUUGACAUGCUUCUGCAAAGCUGUAGAAACACAGUGGAGGUUAUCAGUUGCACAGGUGGUGCAUGGUUGUCGUCAGCUCGUGUCGUGAGAUGUUGGGUUAAGUCCCGCAACGAGCGCAACCCUUAUUGUUAGUUGCCAGCACGUAAUGGUGGGGACUUUAGCAAGACUGCCAGUGAUAAAUUGGAGGAAGGUGGGGACGACGUCAAAUCAUCAUGCCCCUUAUGACCUGGGCUACAAACGUGAUACAAUGGCUGUUACAAAGGGUAGCUGAAACGUAAGUUUUUGGCGAAUCUCAAAAAAACAGUCUCAGUUCGGAUUGAAGUCUGCAACUCGACUUCAUGAAGUUGGAAUCGCUAGUAAUCGCGAAUCAGCAUGUCGCGGUGAAUACGUUCUCGGGGUUUG